UAGAGUUUGAUCCUGGCUCAGGAUGAACGCUGGCGGCAUGCCUAAUACAUGCAAGUCGAACGAGAUGAGAAGAAGCUUGCUUCUUUGAAUCUAGUGGCGAACGGGUGAGUAACACGUAGGUAACCUGCCCAUGUGCCCGGGAUAACUUCUGGAAACGGAUGCUAAAACCGGAUAGGUAGCAGACAAGCAUUUGACUGCUAUUAAAGUGGCCUUGGCCAUGAACAUGGAUGGACCUGCGGUGCAUUAGCUGGUUGGUGAGGUGACGGCCCACCAAGGCGACGAUGCAUAGCCGGCCUGAGAGGGCGGACGGCCACAUUGGGACUGAGACACGGCCCAAACUCCUACGGGAGGCAGCAGUAGGGAAUUUUCGUCAAUGGGGGGAACCCUGAACGAGCAAUGCCGCGUGAGUGAGGAAGGUCUUCGGAUCGUAAAGCUCUGUUGUAAGAGAAAAACGGCACUCAUAGGGAAUGAUGAGUGAGUGAUGGUAUCUUACCAGAAAGUCACGGCUAACUACGUGCCAGCAGCCGCGGUAAUACGUAGGUGGCGAGCGUUAUCCGGAAUGAUUGGGCGUAAAGGGUGCGUAGGUGGCAGAUCAAGUCUGGAGUAAAAGGUAUGGGCUCAACCCGUACUGGCUCUGGAAACUGAUCAGCUAGAGAACAGAAGAGGACGGCGGAACUCCAUGUGUAGCGGUAAAAUGCGUAGAUAUAUGGAAGAACACCGGUGGCGAAGGCGGCCGUCUGGUCUGGAUUCUGACACUGAAGCACGAAAGCGUGGGGAGCAAAUAGGAUUAGAUACCCUAGUAGUCCACGCCGUAAACGAUGAGAACUAGGUGUUGGGGGAAUAACUCAGUGCCGCAGUUAACGCAGUAAGUUCUCCGCCUGGGGAGUAUGCACGCAAGUGUGAAACUCAAAGGAAUUGACGGA
rnacentral:rRNA from 1 species